AUUGAACGCUGGCGGCAGGCCUAACACAUGCGAGUCGAGCGGAUGAAGGGAGCUUGCUCCUGGAUUCAGCGGCGGACGGGUGAGUAAUGCCUAGGAAUCUGCCUGUAGUGGGGGAUAACGUCCGGAAACGGGCGCUAAUACCGCAUACGUCCUGAGGGAGAAAGUGGGGGAUCUUCGGACCUCACGCUACCAGAUGAGCCUAGGUCGGAUUAGCUAGUUGGUGGGGUAAAGGCCUACCAAGGCGACGAUCCGUAACUGGUCUGAGAGGAUGAUCAGUCACACUGGAACUGAGACACGGUCCAGACUCCUACGGGAGGCAGCAGUGGGGAAUAUUGGACAAUGGGCGAAAGCCUGAUCCAGCCAUGCCGCGUGUGUGAAGAAGGUCUUCGGAUUGUAAAGCACUUUAAGUUGGGAGGAAGGGCAGUAAGUUAAUACCUUGCUGUUUUGACGUUACCAACAGAAUAAGCACCGGCUAACUUCGUG
rnacentral:rRNA from 1 species